rnacentral:misc_RNA from 1 species
CUGUUCGAGCGUCAUUAUGACCAACUCACGCUCCGCGUGGUCUUGGGGUCCGCUAGCCGGCGGCCCUUAAACGCAGUGGCGGUGCCGUGCGGCUCUCAGCGUAGUAAUUUAUCUCGCUACAGGGUCCGGACGGUGCUGGCCAGCAACCCCAACUAUACUAGGUUGACCUCGGAUCAGGUAGGGAUACCCGCUGAACUUAA